UCGUUGCUUUUCAGAGACUUUCUCUUCAAGCUCAAUUUUUCUCCCACUGCCUCUAUCAAGGAUAAACUGAUUUUCCAAGAAGAUGGCAUGACGGCUCACAAACACAUUGUGCUCCUCUGAGACGUAAAAAUUGUAUCCUAAUGACUCUUUAGGAUAUCCUAUAAAACGAGCACUUAUGGUCCUAGCCUCUAGUUUGUCCG
rnacentral:lncRNA from 1 species